UUGAAUAUUAAUAAGUGAAAAUUAUUUUAUUUAUACUAUAAACUUUUAACACUUAUAUAAAAGCUAAAUCUUUAAAAAAUAUGAUCAUAAUUAUAAAACAUUUAAACUAACAACAAAUUUUUAAUAUCAUUCUUAAAUUCAAUAAUAUUAAAUAAGUUUUUAUAAUUAUAUAUAUAUAUUAAACAUUUUAAUUUUUUAUCUUUGAAGUUUUAUUAAAAAUUAUAUUUUAGUUUUCAAAAUAUUUAAU
rnacentral:tRNA from 1 species